GUACAACUGAUGAGUCCCACAAUAGGACGAAAUGGCUGUCCAGUGC
rfam:Schistosoma mansoni strain Puerto Rico chromosome 1, complete genome